rnacentral:rRNA from 1 species
UCGGGAAUUUUGGGCAAUGGGCGCAAGCCUGAUCCAGCAAUGCCGCGUGAGUGAAGAAGGCCUUCGGGUUGUAAAGCUCUUUUGUCAGGGAAGAAACGGUGGGAGCUAAUAUCUCCCACUAAUGACGGUACCUGAAGAAUAAGCACCGGCAAACUCUGUGCCAGCAGCCGCGGUAAUACAGAGGCCCCAAGCGUUAUCCGGAAUCACUGGGCGUAAAGGGUGUCGAGGCGGUUGUAUUAGUCGUUCGUAAAAUCUACGAGCUUAACUUGUAGGCGGCGAACGAAACGGUACGACUUGAGGUUUGGAGAGGUGCGUGGAACUCACGGUGUAGGGGUGAAAUCCGUUGAUAUCGUGGGGAACACCAAAGGCGAAGGCAGCGCACUGGCCAAAAUCUGACGCUCACACACGAAAGCUAGGGUAGCGAAGAGGAUUAGAUACCCCAGUAGUCCCUGAGCGGGCUGGCAAGGCGCAU